AUUGAACGCUGGCGGCAUGCCUUACACAUGCAAGUCGAACGGUAACAGGUCUUCGGAUGCUGGCGAGUGGCGAACGGGUGAGUAAUAUAUCGGAACGUGCCCAGUCGUGGGGGAUAACGCAGCGAAAGCUGUGCUAAUACCGCAUACGAUCUAAGGAUGAAAGCGGGGGAUCGCAAGACCUCGCGCGAUUGGAGCGGCCGAUAUCAGAUUAGCUAGUUGGUGGGGUAAAGGCCUACCAAGGCGACGGUCCUUAGCUGGUCUGAGAUGAUGAUCAGCCAGACGGGGACGGAGGCACGGCCCAGAAUCCUACGGGAGGCAGCAGUGGGGAAUUUUGGACAAUGGGCGCAAGCCUGAUCCAGCCAUUCCGCGUGCAGGAUGAAGGCCUUCGGGUUGUAGACUGCUUUUGUACGGAACGAAACGGCCCUUUCUAAUACAGGGGGCUAAUGACGGUACCGUAAGAAUAAGCACCGGCUAACUACGUGCCAGCAGCCGCCGUAACAC
rnacentral:rRNA from 1 species